UACGAAGGGGACUAGCGUUGUUCGGAAUUACUGGGCGUAAAGCGCACGUAGGCGGAUUUGUUAGUCAGGGGUGAAAUCCCGGGGCUCAACCUCGGAACUGCCUUUGAUACUGCAAGUCUCGAGUCCGAUAGAGGUGGGUGGAAUUCCUAGUGUAGAGGUGAAAUUCGUAGAUAUUAGGAAGAACACCGGUGGCGAAGGCGGCCCACUGGAUCGGUACUGGCGCUGAGGUGCGAAAGCGUGGGGAGCAAACAGG
rnacentral:rRNA from 1 species